GCACAGAGUUAGCCGGGGCUUAUUCCGGGGGUACUGUCGUGUGUCAUUCCCCCGAAAAGGAGUUUACAACCCGAAAGCCGUCAUCCUCCACGCGGCGUUGCUCGGUCAGGCUUGCGCCCAUUGCCGAAAAUUCCUUG
rnacentral:rRNA from 1 species